rnacentral:tRNA from 1 species
UAAAGUGUAAAUAUACGGUUUCGGCCCGUAUUAAGGUAUUCCUAAUACCCACUUUGU